UAGGGAAUCUUCCACAAUGGACGCAAGUCUGAUGGAGCAACGGCCGCGUGAGUGAAGAAGGUCUUCGGAUCGUAAAGCUCUGUUGUUGGUGAAGAAGGAUAGAGGCAGUAACUGGUCUUUAUUUGACGGUAAUCAACCAGAAAGUCACGGGCUAACUACGUGCCAGCAGCCGCGGUAAUACGUAGGUGGCAAGCGUUGUCCGGAUUUAUUGGGCGUAAAGCGAGCGCAGGCGGAAUGAUAAGUCUGAUGUGAAAGCCCACGGCUCAACCGUGGAACUGCAUCGGAAACUGUCAUUCUUGAGUGCAGAAGAGGAGAGUGGAACUCCAUGUGUAGCGGUGGAAUGCGUAGAUAUAUGGAAGAACACCAGUGGCGAAGGCGGCUCUCUGGUCUGCAACUGACGCUGAGGCUCGAAAGCAUGGGUAGCGAACAGGAUUAGAUACCCUGGUAGUCCAUGCCGUAAACGAUGAGCGCUAGGUGUUGGGGACUUUCCGGUCCUCAGUGCCGCAGC
rnacentral:rRNA from 1 species